GUCGAACGCUGGCGGCGUGCCUAAUACAUGCAAGUCGAACGCAUUUUCUUUCACCGUAGCUUGCUACACCGAAAGAAACUGAGUGGCGAACGGGUGAGUAACACGUGGGUAACCUGCCCAUCAGCGGGGGAUAACACUUGGAAACAGGUGCUAAUACCGCAUAAUUCCAUUUACCGCAUGGUAGAUGGAUGAAAGGCGCUUUUGCGUCACUGAUGGAUGGACCCGCGGUGCAUUAGCUAGUUGGUGGGGUAACGGCCUACCAAGGCUGCGAUGCAUAGCCGACCGGAGAGGGUGAUCGGCCACACUGGGACGGAGACACGGCCCAGACUCCUACGGGAGGCAGCAGUAGGGAAUCGUCGGCAAGGGACACAAGUCUGACCGAGCAACGCCGCGUGAGUGAAGAAGGUUUUCGGAUCGUAAAACUCUGUUGUUAGAGAAGAACAAGGAUGAGAGUGGAAAGUUCAUCCCUUGACGGUAUCUAACCAGAAAGCCACGGCUAACUACGUG
rnacentral:rRNA from 1 species